CUCUCUCUCUCUCUCUCUCUCUCUCUCUCUCUCUCUCUCUCUCUCUCCAUAUGAGCUCAGUUUCCUCCCGACACGCUGGGGACCGAGUCCGCUUGAGCUUUCUUGCCUCGCAAGGUGAAAAAGGCAAAGGGCCCCUCGACUUGGUUAGCUGGCUCCAAAAAGGAAAAGGAAAAAGAGAGGCCACCUCCCCACGCACCCCUUGCAGCAUUUCACUUGGUUUCCUGUUUAAAAGAACCAUCAGAAAUAUGCUCGGCCUUUUUCUUUUUUUAAUGCAAAGCCACAGCUCUGCAAUUCCUAUUAAUUUCGAUGACUGGCUGUAAAGGGACGGAAAGCGAGACCCAGAUCCAGGCAACCAAACAUGCAACCCGUGUGAACGGCCCAAGGGGAUUUCGGGCCCCGUGUUUCUUGGAAAGCAGCUCUCCGUGAUCACACCACAGGCUGUUUGGAAACAGAGAGGCAUGUGUGUUGCAUGAGAAAACCAACCCCGGGUCCUUGGGACAUCUAGUUUACCUGGGCCAGGUCACCGCUCACUUAAGUCUCAUUUUUUCUCUUUUUUUCUCUCUCUAGCGCCUGCCGGAGCCCUAACCCAAUGACAGGCAAAGAGCACUCCUUAGAUGCCUUGCCUUCAUCUUCCUCUGAAGGUCUAUAUGAUGUGCCAUGACAACCAGGGGUAGAUUACCCUUGGCCAUGACUUAUCAGGGAGACUGGCUUGUUAAAGGUACUUUGGAAAACUAUGUCUCUUAUGUAUAUAAUUUGCCCUAAACACUCCAUGUGUUCCUAUUUUGCGUAUAUGUUGUGUUAACCUAAUGUUUUAUGCUCCUGAGAUCCCCAUUCCUUCUCUUUGGGGGAAACCGUGUUCCUGAACCCAAAGAUGUCUUGCAUCCCACACAAUUGUAUAACCUGGAGAAAAAAAACUAAGCUGGGAACUUUCUCAUCAAGUUCGAGUUUCAUCUAUGUUUUUGGACUUUACCUAGACAUUGCAACACAAUACUUAUAUUAGGCGCGGGAAAUCGUCUCCCUCGCCCCUUGGGGAAAGAGCAAUCUACCACCCACGCCUUUGAUGUCUGGGACCACUCACGUCAGAAGGAAUCAGCAUUUCUACAGCCAAAACCCAUCCUCUGUCAUUUUUGCAUGAUUGUAUUAAUAUAUGAUGUUUUGUUUCCCGGGGAUCUGGAAUCGCCAGGCCAGCCCUCUUUAUGGGCCAUGUCAUGUUCAUCCCAUAAAACAAUAGCCUUCCUGGGUAGGGCCAGAGACGCCCUCAAUCAUUUUGUUAUUUUUCCUGUUCAAUAAAAGGAACCUCCUUUAUCAAUGCCUAAUCAUCCCUUGUCCCAGCCCAGGUUGGCCAGUGAGCCAGACCCCUCUCUGCAACUGGCCAUCCAGCAGUCGCCAUCUGCUCGCCCACAGAAAUCCAUAUUUAAUCAUCUAGAGCUGAUGUGCCCUAUCCAAUGCAAUGGUCAGCUGUUCAGAAAGGAGCGGUCAUAAAGCACAGAGAUGGCGCACUAAAGAAAUUCUGUCCAUAGACACGUGGAUCACAAAAAUAAGGGACUAUAUGGAUAUGGACUCGCUGAUAUUUUUGCUUCAAGAUAAGAACAGGGAACAUAGGACUGAUUGGUCACCACUAAAAGAUUACCUCCGGGAAAAUUGACAGAUUAGUUUUGAAUAGACAGAUCGGAUCAUAGUCGGGAAACAAUGGAGGAGAUAACAAAUAAAAGGAAGAACUAGGAAGGGGAAGGCAGGGGAAACUUCCAAGAACAAGGAAGGAAAAACAAAAGACAACGUCCCUGCGGAAUGGACCGGAGGACUUCUCAUCCACCAAUCUCAUUUAUCUGUUUAUAUUCUAUUUAUCUUCAUUCUUUUCUUUUUUUCCCCCUUUUUUCUUCUUUUUUUUCUUUUCUUAUUUUUUUGUUAUUCUUUUUUUCCCUUCUUGUCCUCCUACCCAAUAUCUAGCUAUAGAUGCAUACAGGUUUAUGCACGUAUGUAUCUCUUUUUGUCCUUUCUUUCUUUCUUUCUUUCUUUCUUUCUUUCUUUCUUUCUUUCUUUCUUUCUUUCUUUCCUUCCUUCCUUCCUUCCUUCCUUCCUUCCUUCCUUCCUUCCUUCCUUCCUUCCUUCCUUCCGCUCAUCUGUAACAUAUGUAUAUCUAUCUAAAAAAUGCAGUAAAAAUUAUUUUUAAAAAUUAAAAAUUAAAAAAAUAAAGAGGAAGGAGGUUUGCAGACCGGAUUUUUGUUCCCACGGCACACAGGUUAAGAGCCACUGCUGCAGAGGCAACCAAUGACUCCCGGAAGGUGCCAAAGAGCACAAGAAAGCUUUCCCAGGUUUUCAGUCCUGGAAUCUGAGUAGGUUUUGGCUUUGGAGGCAAAUAGCCUCUGCAAGCCAAAGGUUUGGGAGUUUGCAAAGUGGGGCUCAAGCCAGCAAUGCCAUAAACACAGACAUGUCUGCCGAUGUGCGAGUUUUCCUGAUGAGCACGUUCAUGUGGCCUCCAUUAAGAAGCCUUGCAAAAGCAAUGCUCCCCCCGCCAGUAUUUACAAAUACAAACCACAUGGCCCCGUCUUGCAAUGCCGCGUGAAGAACGAGGCUCUGGGUUUGGUUUGAGUUCCAGCUCUCUUUUCUUUUAUUUGAAAUACGACCCAGGAGAAGGGAAUUUCGGGCCUAAUGCUUGUUCCAGCCCAUUAUUCUUCGCCCUCUGAAGUUUUAAAAGGCUAAAGGGGGGCUGCAAUGGGGAAUGAGAGAUCCACCCGCAAAACUGGGGACAUAAUGUAAGGCUAUUUGGCAAACCAAAGCAAAAUGAGGAAUUAGUUAACUCUGGUCUUUUUUCCCCUCUUGUUUGUCCUUCCAUUCAAUUAAAAGAAAUAUCUCCUGUGGAAUUGUAGAAGUCAUAUACAAAGCUCCUUGCUUUUAUGGCUCGGGUUCAAUCAAUAUGGUUAUCUACCUGUCAAUUUUUCAUGCUCUUUAAUCCAGAAAGAGUGCAGGUCCUCCUUUUUAUUUAUUUUUUAUUUUUUGCAGCUUGCUGAGGAAGUACUAAGCUAAUCAAUAUAUCCUGUGAUAAGGGGAGAUUUGGAACGAAUAUAACAAAAGCUUAUCAUUUCACUGUACACUGAGCCUGUCAAAAUAUUUUCUUAGGAGGAAUCUCAAGAGAAGCCUUCACCUUUCAUUGCUUAAGUGGGUAACCAUGAAGCAUUGUGGGACUUGUAACUUUUGCAGGUUUGCCUUGGAUGUGGAAGCGCUGAUUGUUUCCGACAGGUCAUGAAGCAAAAUAAUCUACACUACUGAAUUAGUGCAGUUUGAAACCACUUUAACAACUAUGGAAUUGUGUAAUGGAAUGCUUUGGAUUUGGUUGGUUGCCCCUGGAGUGGCAGGACCUCCUGAUGGCACUGGGACUUGAGUGGGCCUGGGCCAGUGUGUAUUUUAAAUGAGUUGACCAAGAUAAGUUGUUGUUAAACCAAAGCCCUAGGUAUCUGAAAUUUUUAAUUGCUCAAUAUAGUGGCCCUUUACCUCCCAGACUUGCUUCUUAUAGCUUUUCCCAAAAACCAUGAUCUUGGUUUUAUCAUAGUUCACCUGGAGAUCACUUGUCUCACAGAAGUCAGCAAAACUAUGCGGGAGUCUUUUUAGUCCCACACAAGAGAGGGAUAGUAGGGCUGCAUCGUCCGCAAAUAGCAAGAGAGGGACACGCUUUGGGCCAGUUUGGGGGAAUGACCGUCCACUUGGGCCAGGCGCUAUAGGGAGAUCCUGCAGGAAGAUGGUAAAUAGUCAGGGGGCUAGUACGCACCCUUGUUUGACUCCCUUUUUGACAUGGAUUGGGUUCGACAGAAAUCUCCUGUGAUCUUUUACCUGGCAUAAGUUGCUUGAUCGGAAAAAGAAGUCUUGGGUCAAUGUUAAGGGCUGUUAAUUCUAUCUGCCCAUUUUAUAAUAGCCCCAUUCUCAAGGUGUUGCCAAUGUUAUAUUGCAUUUUGUCCAAUUCUACUGUGAAAUUACCUUCCCCAUUUCGGCACAUUCUGCACUUUGCCUGGGUUCAAUGAAUUAGUCUCCUGUGUUAAUAUUGUAUGUUUUAUGUCGAUUUUAACGAUUGUUUUUACUGUAAUUGAUGUUUUUAUUGGAUAAUUGUUUUAUUGCUGUGUUUUGAUAUUUGAUUGUUUUAUUGGGCAAGGCCCCAUGUAAGCCGCCCCGAGUCCCUUCGGGGAGAUGGGGCAGGGUAUAAAAAUAAAGUUGUUGUUGUUGUU